rnacentral:misc_RNA from 1 species
GAUGAAGAACGUAGCGAAAUGCGAUAAGUAAUGUGAAUUGCAGAAUUCAGUGAGUCAUCGAAUCUUUGAACGCACAUUGCGCCCUGUGGUAUUCCGCAGGGCAUGCCUGUUCGAGCGUCAUUUCAACCCUCAAGCCCCGCUUGGUGUUGGGCCCCGCCCGCCGUGGCCGGCCCUAAAGACAGUGGCGGCGCCGCCUGGCCCUCAGCGUAGUACAGCUCUCGCUCCAGGGUCCGGCGGCCGCCUGCCAGAACCCCCCCAACUCUGUGGUUGACCUCGGAUCAGGUAGGGAUACCCGCUGAACUUAAGCAUAUCAAUAAGCGGAGGA